UUUUAAAAGUAUAUAAAAAGAGGG
rnacentral:tRNA from 1 species